rnacentral:rRNA from 1 species
GACGUAGGGCGCGAGCGUUGUCCGGAUUUAUUGGGCGUAAAGAGCUCGUAGGCGGCUUGUUGCGUCGACCGUGAAAACCCGGGGCUCAACUUCGGGCUUGCGGUCGAUACGGGCGGGCUAGAGUUCGGUAGGGGAGACUGGAAUUCCUGGUGUAGUGGUGAAAUGCGCAGAUAUCAGGAGGAACACCGGUGGCGAAGGCGGGUCUCUGGGCCGAUACUGACGCUGAGGAGCGAAAGCGUGGGGAGCGAACAGG